GCUCCUACGGGACGCAGCAGUGGGGAAUAUUGCACAAUGGGGGAAACCCUGAUGCAGCGACGCCGCGUGAGCGAUGAAGUAUUACGGUAUGUAAAGCUCUAUCAGCAGGGAAGAAAAUGACGGUACCUGACUAAGAAGCCCCGGCUAACUACGUGCCAGCAGCCGCGGUAAUACGUAGGGGGCAAGCGUUAUCCGGAUUUACUGGGUGUAAAGGGGGCGCAGACGGCGAUGCAAGCCAGGAGUGAAAGCCCGGGGCCCAACCCCGGGACUGCUCUUGGAACUGCGUGGCUAGAGUGCAGGAGGGG
rnacentral:rRNA from 1 species